rnacentral:rRNA from 1 species
CCUACGGGAGGCAGCAGUGGGGAAUAUUGGGCAAUGGGCGCAAGCCUGACCCAGCAACGCCGCGUGAAGGAAGAAGGCUUUCGGGUUGUAAACUUCUUUUAAGAGGGAAGAGCAGAAGACGGUACCUCUUGAAUAAGCCACGGCUAACUACGUGCCAGCAGCCGCGGUAAUACGUAGGUGGCAAGCGGUGUCCGGCUUUACUGGGUGUAAAGGGCGUGUAUCCGGGCUGACAAGGCAGAUGUGAAAUCCCGUGGCUCAACCACGGAACUGCAUUUGAAACUGUCGGUCUUGAGUAUCGGAGAGGCAGGCGGAAUGCCGAGUGUAGCGGUGAAAUGCGUAGAUAUUAGGAGGAACACCAGUGGCGAAGGCGGCCUGCUGGACGACAACUGACGGUGAGGCGCGAAAGCGUGGGGAGCAAACAGGAUUAGAUACCCGAGUAGUC